UUUAAAAUAAAAAUAAUAAAAUAAAAAUUACACGUUCUAGAACCAUCGGUCCUACGCUAUAAAAAAUGUGUGAAUUGAUGGGGGCGAACAAGCGUCAGGGUGAUACUCUAUCCUGGGUUGAAGCGAUGAGUAGAGGGAGGGAGGCGGCAUGAGAUCAACAAUUUGAUGAAGAAGGAGACUGAGAGGAUUCGGGCGACCAUAUUUCUUUCAUUCAUCUGAGUGGACAAAUCCAUGGUUUUGGAUUUAGAAGGCCUAACAAUUUUGUAAGCCCUAAGGGUGACGCAUUUUUCUCGGACCCCAAGUAUUGCCUUGAGGAAACAACGCCACGAAGUUGUUUGGAUUGAUGCACUGGAAGUUGUAAUUUUGUUGGAUCAUGUUCAUUGUUUGCACUUAAUUCAAUAGGGUUUUGAUUUUUCAUAGUCAACUUACUGAUUAUUUUGUUUGUCCAAAGCAUACUCCUUACGCAAAGGGGACAUAUUUGGAUUUGAAUUAUUUUUAACCUCAAGUAUAUACCCGUUACGCAAAGGGGACAUAUUUGGAUUUGAA